AGCUACGUAGCUCAGUUUGGUUAGAGCACAGCAUUCAUAACGCUGAUGUCACAGGUUCGAUUCCUGUCGUAGCUA
rnacentral:tRNA from 1 species